UCGUGCUAGGCGGGGAGUUAGCGGUGCCCUGUACCCGAGAUCCGCUAUAGCGGGGCUGAAUUCCAACUUGAGAUCUUUGCUCUCUUGGGACUGCUUUUAUUAAGCGGCGUUGAAGGCUGGGUCCUGCGCGGCAGAGAGCUAUGAACCCCGUCAGGUCCGGGAGGAAGCAGCGGUAAGUAGUCAACUCUGGGUGCCGCAGGGUUGCCUGGUCUGAGCUGGCUGGCAAGGGUAAGUCAGGAGGCAGGAGCGAGAGUGGGUGCACGA
rnacentral:SRP_RNA from 1 species